rnacentral:rRNA from 1 species
AACUUAAGCAUAUCAAUAAGCGGAGGAAAAGAAACCAACAGGGAUUGCCCUAGUAACGGCGAGUGAAGCGGCAACAGCUCAAAUUUGAAAUCUGGCUCUCUUGCAGGGUCCGAGUUGUAAUUUGCAGAGGGUGCUUUGGCGUUGGCAGCGGUCUAAGUUCCUUGGAACAGGACAUCACAGAGGGUGAGAAUCCCGUAUGUGGUCGCUAGCCCUCGCCGUGUAAAGCCCCUUCAAUGAGUCGAGUUGUUUGGGAAUGCAGCUCUAAAUGGGAGGUAAAUUUCUUCUAAAGCUAAAUACUGGCCAGAGACCGAUAGCGCACAAGUAGAGUGAUCGAAAGAUGAAAAGCACUUUGGAAAGAGAGUCAAACAGCACGUGAAAUUGUUGAAAGGGAAGCGCUUGCCGCCAGACUUGCCUGCAGUUGCUCAUCCGGGCGUUUCGCCUGGUGCACUCUUCUGCGGGCAGGCCAGCAUCAGUUUGGGCAGCCGGAUAAGGGUCUCUGUCAUGUAUCUUUCUUCGGAAUGACCUUAUAGGGGAGGCGUAGUACGGUUAGCCUGGACUGAGGUCCGCGCAUCUGCUAGGAUGCUGGCGUAAUGGCUGCAAGCGGCCCGUCUUGAAACACGGACCAAGGAGUCUAACAUCUAUGCGAGUGUUUGGGUGUCAAGCCCGAGCGCGCAAUGAAAGUGAACGGAGGUGGGAACCCUCUUGGGGGCGCACCAUCGACCGAUCCUGAUGUCUUCGGAUGGAUUUGAGUAAGAGCAUAGCUGUUGGGACCCGAAAGAUGGUGAACUAUGCUUGAAUAGGGUGAAGCCAGAGGAAACUCUGGUGGAGGCUCGCAG